GUGCGCCUUUUUUUUUUUUUCCUUCUUAGUCGUGUGUACAUCAUUGGGAAUGGAGGGAAAUAAAUGACUGGAUGGUCGCUGCUUUUUAAGUUUCAAAUUGACAUUCCAGACAAGCGGUGCCUGAGCCCGUGCCUGUCUUCAGAUCUUCACAGCACAGUUCCUGGGAAGGUGGAGCCACCAGCCUCUCCUUGAAUAACUGGGAGAUGAAACAGGAAGCUCUAUGACACACUUGAUCGAAUAUGACAGACACCGAAAAUCACGACUCAGCCCCCUCCAGCACCUCUACCUGUUGCCCGCCGAUCACAGCCGGAAUGCAGCUGAAAGAUUCCCUGGGGCCUGGUUCCAACCGCCCACUGUGGACUCUGAGGCCUCUGCAUUUGCGGGUGGUCUGCCUGUGAUAUUUUGGUCAUGGGCUGGUCUGGUCGGUUUCCCAUUUGUCUGGCCAGUCUCUAUGUGUCUUAAUCCCUUGUCCUUCAUUAAAAGCAAAACUAAAGAAAACAGAA
rnacentral:lncRNA from 1 species